GGGGUAACAGCAAGGUUGGUUGAUUAAAUUGACAUAAAACUAAGGAAUAGAUCAUUAAAACAAAGUCAAUUUUCAAAGACUUUGCUAAAGGGAUAAAUAUUACAUAGGGUUUGAUUGAAUUAGAAUUAGAUUUUUUAUUCCAAUAGUUUGUACAAUAUAAAUAUUUUUUUGUUUUCCUUACAAAUGACAUUAUUAUUGUCAUGGCA
rnacentral:lncRNA from 1 species